GUGGGGAAUAUUGGACAAUGGGCGCAAGCCUGAUCCAGCCACGCCGCGUGUGUGAUGAAGGCCUUCGGGUCGUAAAGCACUGUGGAGAGGGAAGAAAAGCAGCGGGAACAAUACCCCGUUGCCAUGACGGUACCUCUUUAGCAAGCACCGGCUAACUCCGUGCCAGCAGCCGCGGUAAUACGGAGGGUGCAAACGUUGCUCGGAAUCAUUGGGCGUAAAGCGCGUGUAGGCGGCUGAAUAAGUCGAGUGUGAAAGCCCUGGGCUCAACCCAGGAAGUGCGCUCGAAACUGUUUAGCUCGAGUACGGGAGAGGGUAGCGGAAUUCCCGGUGUAGAGGUGAAAUUCGUAGAUAUCGGGAGGAACACCAGUGGCGAAGGCGGCUACCUGGACCGAUACUGACGCUGAGUACGCGAAAGCGUGGGUAGCAAACAGGAUUAGAUACCCCAGUAGUCC
rnacentral:rRNA from 1 species